rnacentral:rRNA from 1 species
GACGAACGCUGGCGGCGUGCUUAACACAUGCAAGUCGAGCGGUAAGGCCCUUUCGGGGGUACACGAGCGGCGAACGGGUGAGUAACACGUGGGUGACCUGCCCUCAGCUCUGGGAUAAGCCCGGGAAACUGGGUCUAAUACCGGAUAUGACUCCACGGUGCAUGUCGUGGGGUGGAAAGCCUUGUGCGGCUGAGGAUGGGCCCGCGGCCUAUCAGCUUGUUGGUGGGGUGAUGGCCUACCAAGGCGACGACGGGUAGCCGGCCUGAGAGGGCGACCGGCCACACUGGGACUGAGACACGGCCCAGACUCCUACGGGAGGCAGCAGUGGGGAAUCUUGCGCAAUGGGCGAAAGCCUGACGCAGCGACGCCGCGUGAGGGAUGACGG